CCACAAAAUUAUCUCCGAGCCUUGCUGCCUAACGGGAUUGACCCCACGGCGCCCGGCCUACGGGUUUCGCUGGAAACGGCGGAGCCUCCCUUUCGGAAAGGAGCCUGUUCGCAUUCGG
rnacentral:ncRNA from 2 species